rnacentral:misc_RNA from 1 species
AAAUGAAGAUACAGUCUUAGAUGCGUACACAUGUGAAUGUGGGGGCAAAUCUAGCACAAUUGUUCUAUCAUGUAAAAAUUUAUUUUGUUAUGCUUCUCUCUGUCUCUGUUUCUACAUAUGUAAGUUUUCUUAAAAUAAUGAAAGUUCUUGUAUGUCUAAGAUUGGGAACUUGUGUUAGAUUUUAAUUUCUAUUUUGUUGUUGUUGAGCUAUAGUCUGACUGUAUAUUCCUUUAUUUUGAAUGAAACCCCCAAUUUGAGCUA